GAUGAACCGCGUAGGCUACAGGCUUAACACAUGCAAGUCGAGGGGCAGGCAUGGGACGUUAGCCUGCUAAGCCCGAUGGCGACCGGCGCACGGGUGAGUAACACGUAUCCAACCUUCCGGUAACUCCAGUAUAGCCUCUCGAAAGAGAGAUUAAUCCCGGAUAGUAUGGUGAUUCCGCAUGGUUUCUCCAUUAAAGGAUUCCGGUUACCGAUGGGGAUGCGUUCCAUUAGGCAGUUGGCGGGGUAACGGCCCACCAAACCUACGAUGGAUAGGGGUUCUGAGAGGAGGGUCCCCCACAUUGGAACUGAGACACGGUCCAA
rnacentral:rRNA from 1 species